rnacentral:rRNA from 1 species
AUCCUGGCUCAGGAUAAACGCUGGCGGCGCACAUAAGACAUGCAAGUCGAACGGAAGUCGUUAUAAAAAGGAUUGAAGAUUUAUCUGAUUGAGAUUUUAUAACAAUGGCUUUAGUGGCGGACUGGUGAGUAACGCGUGAGCAACCUGCCUACUAGAGGGGAAUAACAGUGAGAAAUCAUUGCUAAUACCGCAUAUGCCAUGAACACCACAUGAUGAAAAUGGGAAAAGAGUAA